rnacentral:rRNA from 1 species
AAUUGAAGGGUUUGAUCCUGGCUCAGAACGAACGCUAGCAGCGUGGAUUAGGCAUGCAAGUCGUGCGCGAAAGUCUUCGGACGAGUAAAGCGGCGAAAGGGUGAGUAACACGUAACUAACGUACCCCUCAGAUUGGGAUAACCACUGGAAACGGUGGAUAAUACUGAAUGGUCCUAGGAAGGACAUCCUUCCGAAGGUAAACGGCGGCUUCGGCUGCUGUUGAGGGAGCGGGUUGCGACCUAUCAGCUUGUUGGUGAGGUAACGGCUCACCAAGGCUAUGACGGGUAGCGGGUCUGAGAGGAUGAUCCGCCACACUGGGACUGAGACACUGCCCAGACUCCUACGGGAGGCUGCAGUCGAGAAUCUUCCACAAUGGGCGAAAGCCUGAUGGAGCGACGCUGCGUGUAGGAUGAAGGCCUUAGGGUUGUAAACUACUGUCACGCUAUAGGAACCCGUGUAGGUUAAUAGCCUGCGCGCUGACCAAAGCGAGAGGAAGUGCCGGCUAACUCCGUGCCAGCAGCCGCGGUAAGACGGAGGGCGCAAGCGUUGUUCGGAAUCACUGGGCAUAAAGGGCGCGUAGGCGGCCAGUUCAGUCGGAUGUGAAAUCCCCCGGCCCAACCGGGGAACUGCAUUCGAUACUGACUGGCUAGAGGAUGGUAGGAGCCAAUGGAACUCCAGGUGGAACGGUGAAAUGUGUAGAUAUCUGGAGGAACACCGGUGGCGAAAGCGAUUGGCUGGGCCAUUUCUGACGCUGAGGCGCGAAAGCUAGGGGAGCGAACGGGAUUAGAUACCCCGGUAGUCCUAGCCGUAAACGAUGGGUACUGGGCAAUGGACUUACCUAUGUAGUUCAUUGCUGUAGCUAAUGUGUUAAGUACCCCGCCUGGGGAGUACGCUCGCAAGGGUAAAACUCAAAGGAAUUGACGGGGGAUCACACAAGCGGUGGAGCAUGUGGUUUAAUUCGAAGCAACG